UACAGAGGGUGCAAGCGUUAAUCGGAAUUACUGGGCGUAAAGCGUGCGCAGGCGGUUUUGUAAGCCAGAUGUGAAAUCCCCGGGCUUAACCUGGGAAUGGCAUUUGGGACUGCAAGGCUGGAGUUUGGCAGAGGAGACUGGAGUUCCUGGUGUAGCAGUGAAAUGCGUAGAUAUCAGGAGGAAUACCGAUGGCGAAGGCAGGUCUCUGGGCUAUAACUGACGCUCAUGCACGAAAGCGUGGGGAGCAAGCAGG
rnacentral:rRNA from 1 species